rnacentral:rRNA from 1 species
AUACGUAGGGAGCGAGCGUUGUCCGGAAUUACUGGGUGUAAAGGGAGCGUAGGCGGGAGUGCAAGUCAGAUGUGAAAUACAUGGGCUCAACCCAUGGGCUGCAUUUGAAACUGCAUUUCUUGAGUGAAGUAGAGGUAAGCGGAAUUCCUGGUGUAGCGGUGAAAUGCGUAGAUAUCAGGAGGAACACCGGUGGCGAAGGCGGCUUACUGGGCUGUUACUGACGCUGAGGCUCGAAAGCGUGGGGAGCAAACAGGAUUAGAUACCCUGGUAGUCCACGCUGUAAACGAUGAUUACUAGGUGUGGGGGGACUGACCCCUUCCGUGCCGCAGUUAACACAAUAAGUAAUCCACCUGGGGAGUACGGCCGCAAGGUUGAAACUCAAAUGAAUUGACGGGG